rnacentral:pre_miRNA from 1 species
UUCCUACUCCCUCCGUCCGAAAAUACUUGUCAUCAAAAUGGAUAAAAAGAGAUGUAUCUAAAACUAAAAUAUGUCUAGAUACAUUUCCUUUUAUCCAUUUUGAUGACAAGUAUUUCCGGACGGAGGGAGUAUUUG